AACCCAGUGCAAUUCGUUGCACUAUCGUUAACUGAAUACAUAGGUUAACGAGGCGAACCGGGGGAACUGAAACAUCUAAGUACCCCGAGGAAAAGAAAUCAACCGAGAUUCCCCCAGUAGCGGCGAGCGAACGGGGAGCAGCCCAGAGUCUGAAUCAGCUUGUGUGUUAGUGGAACGGUCUGGAAAGUCCGACGGUACAGGGUGAUAGUCCCGUACACCAAAAUGCACAGGUUGUGAACUCGAAGAGUAGGGCGGGACACGUGGUAUCCUGUCUGAAUAUGGGGGGACCAUCCUCCAAGGCUAAAUACUCCUGACUGACCGAUAGUGAACCAGUACCGUGAGGGAAAGGCGAAAAGAACCCCGGCGAGGGGAGUGAAAAAGAACCUGAAACCGUGUACGUACAAGCAGUGGGAGCACCUUCGGGUGUGACUGCGUACCUUUUGUAUAAUGGGUCAGCGACUUAUAUUCUGUAGCAAGGUUAACCGUAUAGGGGAGCCGCAGGGAAACCGAGUCUUAACUGGGCGUUAAGUUGCAGGGUAUAGACCCGAAACCCGGUGAUCUAGCCAUGGGCAGGUUGAAGGUUGGGUAACACUAACUGGAGGACCGAACCGACUAAUGUUGAAAAAUUAGCGGAUGACUUGUGGCUGGGGGUGAAAGGCCAAUCAAACCGGGAGAUAGCUGGUUCUCCCCGAAAGCUAUUUAGGUAGCGCCUCGUGAAUUCAUCUUCGGGGGUAGAGCACUGUUUCGGCUAGGGGGUCAUCCCGACUUACCAACCCGAUGCAAACUACGAAUACCGAAGAAUGUUAUCACGGGAGACACACGGCGGGUGCUAACGUCCGUCGUGAAGAGGGAAACAACCCAGACCGCCAGCUAAGGUCCCAAAGUCAUGGUUAAGUGGGAAACGAUGUGGGAAGGCACAGACAGCCAGGAUGUUGGCUUAGAAGCAGCCAUCAUUUAAAGAAAGCGUAAUAGCUCACUGGUCGAGUCGGCCUGCGCGGAAGAUGUAACGGGGCUAAACCAUGCACCGAAGCUGCGGCAGCGACACUAUGUGUUGUUGGGUAGGGGAGCGUUCUGUAAGCCUGCGAAGGUGACCUGUGAGGGUUGCUGGAGGUAUCAGAAGUGCGAAUGCUGACAUAAGUAACGAUAAAGCGGGUGAAAAGCCCGCUCGCCGGAAGACCAAGGGUUCCUGUCCAACGUUAAUCGGGGCAGGGUGAGUCGACCCCUAAGGCGAGGCCGAAAGGCGUAGUCGAUGGGAAACAGGUUAAUAUUCCUGUACUUGGUGUUACUGCGAAGGGGGGACGGAGAAGGCUAUGUUAGCCGGGCGACGGUUGUCCCG
rnacentral:rRNA from 2 species